CAAAGUAUUUAUCCAGGAAUACAACCACAGCUAAAUGAACAUAUAACCAAUGUACAUUCCUACACCAUUCAUCACAGAUUCGCAUCAUUUAUUAAAUCAUAAAUCCACAUAAAACCUUUUAAAACUGUUCCCUACACGGGAACUCUUUAUUUUUUGAAAACACACUACCACGACGGGUAGAAAACCUUUCAAGUUUACAAAACCAUAAAUCCUUUAUUAUGAAAUUCCGAAUAUUCAAAUGUAACAACACAACUGAACCAUAAUGUCUACGAUAAUAAACAGAAUGUAAAGAGGUUAGUAACUAAACCAACAAACUGGGUCGAAAGCUCUAUCAACCGCUAAGAACGUAUCUCGCGUCUCGUCCAAACACUCACCGCCCGCAAUACCUGAAAAAUAGUGGGGGAGGUGAGAGCAUGUAAAUAUGUCUCCCAUCCCAGUGGGUACCGCAAGCCGACGAAGGCGAGGAAUACUCACCAGAUCAGGAAGAGAUAAAUAAGGUAAUGAGCAGAUAUACUGAAUACAGUAGCAAUAAACUGAAAGGAAGUAGAAACUAUACUGAAUAAACGGCUACUGCUACUGUAACUAGAAUAGAAAGCAUACAUGGAUAUGUACUAUAGUAACAACACAAUUGUAAAGCAAGAACUGUAAGUAUGCAUAUAACGACUGCUGCUAUAGGCAUAUGCGUCAACUGGAUGUAUAGACCAAAUAUACCCAAUCUGAAAUCUGCUACUCUGUUGGUCCGCACCGGAACCUCAAGCCUAUGCCCUGGAGGUUCACACCGGAGACCUCCCGACAGUACCACUGCCGCUCUAACAUGCAUAUAACCCCUCUAGGGCUCACGGGUUGACACCUGCAACCACUUUUCCAGAAAAAGAACACCCUCUUGCGAUGGAUCAGACCGCUGGUGUUCGUGAAAUGCGAACGAGUCUCGGGCGGUCAAUGCUGAUAUGCUCAAAGGUCAACCGUCGGCAACCAGCCUGCAAUCCUGCCCAUAGGGCUCACCGAUCGUAUAGGUCAUCAACUGUAAGGAAGAACAAGAACUGACUACUCAGUUCAACUAGGAUGGAACAACUCAACAUCCUCUCAGAAGUAUGCAAAUACUGCUCAAGGGUCAACUAAAGUGUAGAUGCAAGAACCGACCAAUAAGUCACAGAUAUGACAUACAUGAACCGACCAACCAGGUCAUUGAUACGAAGUACAAGAAUCGACCAACCAGGUCACUAAUACGAAGUACGAGAAUCGACCAACCAGGUCACUGAUACGUAGUACAAGAAUCGACCAACCAGGUCAUAGGUAUCACAAAUAGAUAGACUACUCUACUCCUACACUUGAUACUAAGCAUGGGAACAUCUGAGUAGAGUGUAAUGUAAACAAUAGAGAUGCAAAGCUCAACAUAUAGUAUAUGCAUGGAUAAUAACAAAAGAGCAAGGGUAAGAAACCAUCACGGAGCGUGCACCACUGUACCGAUGUGGGAUCGAAGUACCCACCUGUAAGGAUGUCGCGCCUGUCUCCUGACUGCGAAAGAAUGUCAACCGGACCUAAGGAGGGUCCACCAAGUUAGUAUCUAACCCUGAACUAAUAACCACAGUAUCCAUAACCCCACAAACUAAUCCCGCGGGGACAGCGGGGGCCGGUGAGGACGGUGCCGAAGCUAGGCCUCAGUUGAGGGGAAAGCUUCUAGAGGGUUGUGACAGCUUCCCAGGCAACUUCGACUGAGGGGAUGGGGGUCGUGGCCGAGAGGGGAAAAGAGGGAGAUGCUGCUAGCGUUUUCGGCGGUUGGACCCGCUUGCCGGCGGCCGGGGCACGCGUAGAGUGAUGGCAGGGAUGUGGGGGGUGCUGCCUAGGGUUAGUUGGGGCUAUCAAGGUCGGCUAGGGUUAGCUUUUCCAUGAAAACCCUAGCAGCCCACAUAUAUACAAGGUGGUUAAUUGCAGAAAACCCCCUCAUAGUCCAAUAAUUUCAAUUAAAUCCCCUGCCAGUGCGUGUAUUAUGCACAUAAGUCCACCGACGUUCGAAUUAAAGCAAAACGAUGCAUAAAAUAUUACGACUUUUGCGAAUUUCCCGAUUUUCCACUCUCGACCCUAUAGCGAACUUCAUGCAAUAUCCAGCAAUCCGUUAGUUGGAUUUGCAAACGGGCCGUACCAGUGCUAUCAAGACGACGGGGGCGUCGGAACUACAAUUUUGUUUCAUCAAGUUUGGUCGCCGAUUUGCGACGAAACCCGUCCGCUCUCCAACUAAGCCAAAUACUACACAUAUACCAAUGUGUAAACCCAAUAAACCAAUUCUCGCAUUUGUAUUUGACUUCCCUACCAUUGAUAGAGACCCGAAACAUCCCUCGCCCUACUCCAGGUCACAAGCACGGAGCACGAGGAGCUUUAUAAUGCAAGAAUAGUCAAGAAUGGAAACCCUCUUUUCGAUAAAAUCCCAUUUUCUCGAAACCGUGCAUCAGAUCUGAAAUCCGUCAGUGCCAUUGGUUCCAGAAUAGUUGAACCGGUCGAAACGAGCUAUUGGAUCGCUAUGAACGGAGUCCGAUACACACUAGAAGCCAACUCUACUCUGUGGCUUCUCCGGAAAAUCGGGAUUACUAUUCACUUAAGUGGAAAGUAAUGAUCGUGUAACUUCUCCAUUCUAUCUCAUUUUCUCCUGAAAUUUGACGAGUGCUUAUGUAAUUAAAUUACACACAUAAACAUCAUCAACAGAGAGUUUAGUUGCACUAUCAAAAUCUCAGUCCUUACAUUAUCCCCCUUUAAAAGAAGUCUCGUCCCGAAACUUGACCACGUACCCACCUGAAUGGAAUUCGAAUAUUACUCUACCUCUGCGGUAUCACCUUUGAGUACUGGUCAAAUACUAUAUGCUUAAAUCUAGACGGAUCAACCUCUCAAAAGUGGGGAGAAAAGAACUGCGGUUCCACUCGGAUUAUACGAGGAAAAGCAUAUCAACUCAAAAUCUACGGACCAAAAUCCACCGGGAUCAACACUAUCCUAUAACCUGCGGACAAAAACAGUCCCGCGACUAGGAUUAUCCAAUCCCAAAAGUCAAUUCUGAGAUAAUAAUUCACCACUUAGAAACUCUAGGUCUACUCAACCUUGAUUCGCGUAGCAGCGACCGACUCGACUACGUCACUAGUUCACGUAGAAGAAACAUGAGUCCACCACAAGUUUGGAUUCUAUUUACGUAGACCAAAAAUACGCACUCCGACUAGCCAACAACAUUAACUUGCUCACCACGAGCGAAAACAAAGCGUUGUCCUAAAACUCGAGUCGAAGGCAUUUGCCUCUGAGACUACAGUCUCCCACUAGCCAAUCACACAAAUUGCUGAAGUCAAGUCCUCAUCAGCGGAAAGUCACCUAUGGCAUUCGAUAAUCUUAGGUCCAAAACCUCACUUUCCACCUAACCAAAAGGUCCAACUGACAAUACCAAUUGAGCUAGAAAAUUUUGUCUCCUCAAACUUAAUCCGGUACCAACAACCCACCAAAAUGCUCUUUGCAAAUCCAUCACUUGAUGCACAGGUCGCCAAUCGCAAAUGCGAUACUAACCAUCCGUGAUGCUCAACACUUGUCUCCACAAGACCCUGUUGCUGCCAUCCCAAAGGGACCCUAGCGAUCGAUGUUCCGAGCAACACCUAAGUACCUGUCUCAUUGAGACCCAGGCGCACCUAUCACCAAUUUGACUGGACAAGCAUACCAUUCCAAGGUUUGCACGUUAAGCCAAGUCGCAAACCUUAUACGCUAUCUCAAACGGUGACAAUCAAAGCCAACAACCAGGCUCAAGUCACUCAACCACUGAUUUCGUUCCUCCCGGCAAACAGACUGAGACUACUAACCAAACAAACCUUUUAGCUGUGGGAAGCACAACUAAAGAACUACGAACACCCAGACUCGAACUAGAAUCAAAAUCAUCUGCAGUGAUGAUAAAUCAACUACGCAAACCUGCUAGAGAAUAAUCCAAGGCUCGCUACGUGGUCAGAGAUGACCCUCACUCUAGUUUUCCCAUAAGACAAUCUAGAGAAACAUCGACCCAAUCCAAAAGUUCCACACAGAAAAUAGGUAUUUCAUUCUAACUUUCGACAGUAUAUUGUUUGCAGCCAAUAUACUUAUUAAAAGAAAAGCGAAAUAUCCGAAGAUUCACUACCAACAAUAAGUUAGAAGUGCAACACGUCGAAGUAUCAAGCCACUUGAUAUCUCAUCACUGAACCAAAUCCGUCGAAACAUCGACUUUGCAAGCCGACAUUCGAAAACAGAUCGACUCUGAACCGACUCACUGGGAGUCCCACAGCUUUCAAUAUUCGAAAACUGCUAGCGACACUAAGCCGCAAACCGUACAAACUGAGGCUUUAGGAAACGGUUUCUCUAACCAAUUUCCGUAACACAACCGAGCUAUACUUAAAGCUCUGAGAACUCCGACAACACCCUGGAGUAUCUAGAGUCGAAACGAACCCUAUCACAAAUGACAGACUAGCCCACAUCACACCAAUUUAGGUGUUAGAACAAUCGCAUACGAUGUAUGCGUCAAUGAAGACCUGACACCAAAAUUGUGUCAAUCCGACUCUAGUACACGUCAAUUUGACGAAUGAACUAGGUAAAGGUCAAAUGAUCCAAACCGCUGAUUUCAUCAGCAAUCAAGAAAGAGAGGUAGGCAUCACAACCCUACCCAAGGAUCUAAGGAAAAAUCACCAACCCUGCAGUGGCCUAAACGACCGUUACCCAAAUCCUGGGCUACACCCUAGUAGCCCCACUAAAGUCGUGACCCUAACAGGUCAUAGUGUCGUCUCCGUAGAGGCACUCGCAGUAGCUGUCGUGUCCUAAGUAGGAAGAGUGGCCCGGGCAUCGACAAUUAAGACACUCGCCUAAGCCAAAGAUCACCUGGCCCUUCAAGGCCCCACCUGACAGGAGUGGCGACACCUGGGAAACGUCGCCCCACCACUCGAUGACCGAAUAAGUACACCGCCACUACUCCUGACUUAGACACGAGCUUGUGCGAAAAUCAUAACACGUACCGAAACAACUAUGCACUUCGAGUUUACCAAACUCGAAUGCACAUCGGGACACAAGCCCAAACCCCGCACUCACGUGCCUAUAUACCGUAGGUCUUCCUAUAGGUCAACCUAACCAAUAGUUCAGUUUUUUUUUAUUUUUCAAAACAACCUGUGAAUGGUGUUAUGGUUGUAACUUGUCUCUGAUACCACUUUAAUCUGUCACGCCCCGGGGUCCCUAUUUUUAUAAAAAUACAGCAAUUUUUUUUUUUGAAAGACCUGACCCCAGGGUAUGCCAGAUCCGCCACAAACACAGGGAAUCCACUAUUCACACGGACAGAGUCUCUCCUGUAUUUGCACGGCGUCACACAAGUACAAAGUAUUUAUCCAGGAAUACAACCACAGCUAAAUGAACAUAUAACCAAUGUACAUUCCUACACCAUUCAUCACAGAUUCACAUUCAUUUGUUAAAUCAUAAAUACACAUAAAACCUUUUAAAACUGUUCCCUACACGGGAACUCUUUAUUUUUUGAAAACACACUACCACGACGGGUAGAAAACCUUUCAAGUUUACAAAACCAUAAAUCCUUUAUUAUGAAAUUCCGAAUAUUCAAAUAUAAUAACACAACUGAACCAUAAUGUCUACGAUAAUAAACAGAAUGUAAAGAGGGUAGUAACUAAACCAACAAACUGGGUCGGAAGCUCUAUCGACCGCUAAGAAUGUAUCUCGCGUCUCGUCCCAACACUCACCGCCCAUAAUACCUGAAAGAUGGUGGAGGAGGUGAGAAUAUGUAAACAUGUCUCCCUUCUCAGUGGGUACCGUAAGCCGACGAAGGCGAGGAGUACUCAUCGAAUCAGGAAGAGAUAAACAAGGUAAUGAGUAGAUAUACUGAAUACAGUAGCAAUAAACUGAAAGAAAGUAGGAACUAUACUGAAUAAACGGCUACCGCUACUGUAACUAGAACAGAAAGCAUACAUGGAUAUGUACUAUAGUAGCAAGACAACUGUAAAGCAAGAACUGUAAGCAUGCAUGCAACGACUGCUACUAUAGACAUAUGCGUCAACUGGAUGUAUAGACCAAAUAUACCCAAUCUGAAAUCUGUUGCUCUGUUGGUACGCACCGGAACCUCAAGCCUGUGCCCUGGAGGUUCACACCAGAG
rnacentral:lncRNA from 1 species